GGAAAAAUGGACAUUAAACAGAAAUAUAACUUGGCCCUUCGCUGGUACUGGGAAGACAAAGAUAAUAAGACACAGUCCCUGCUGUGAGGAAGCUCAUGCACUACUGAAGAAGAGAUUCACAAAAACAAAGAAUCACAAUGUAGAGUAAGUACUUUAGUGGACAUAUAUACAAAAGGUUGAGAGGAAAGUUGACAUUUCUGAUUCAGCAUCCCCUCGUCAUGUUUCUUUCCUAUUGGUUUCACCAACCUCAGAAGGCACUAUUCUGUUGGUGGUUUUACUGGUUUUAAAAAUUGAUGCAUUGGGGGAAACUGGGUAAAUUGUACGCGGGAUCUCUCUGUAUUAUUUCUUUU
rnacentral:lncRNA from 1 species